GAUGAACGCUGGCGGCGUGCCUAACACAUGCAAGUCGAACGAAGCAUCCCAUAGGAAGUUUUCGGAUGGAAUAUGGGAUGACUGAGUGGCGGACGGGUGAAUAACGCGUGGAUAACCUGCCUCACACUGGGGGAUAACAGUUAGAAAUGGCUGCUAAUACCGCAUAAGCGCACAGUACCGCAUGGUACGGUGUGAAAAACCCAGGUGGUGUGAGAUGGAUCCGCGUCUGAUUAGCCAGUUGGCGGGGUAACGGCCCACCAAAGCGACGAUCAGUAGCCGACCUGAGAGGGUGACCGGCCACAUUGGGACUGAGACACGGCCCAAACUCCUACGGGAGGCAGCAGUGGGGAAUAUUGCACAAUGGGCGAAAGCCUGAUGCAGCGACGCCGCGUGAGUGAAGAAGUAUCUCGGUAUGUAAAGCUCUAUCAGCAGGGAAGAAAAUGACGGUACCUGACUAAGAAGCCCCGGCUAACUACGUGCCAGCAGCCGCGGUAAUACGUAGGGGGCAAGCGUUAUCCGGAUUUACUGGGUGUAAAGGGAGCGUAGACGGCGAUGCAAGUCUGAAGUGAAAGCCCGGGGCUCAACCCCGGGACUGCUUUGGAAACUGUGUGGCUGGAGUGCAGGAGAGGUAAGUGGAAUUCCUAGUGUAGCGGUGAAAUGCGUAGAUAUUAGGAGGAACACCAGUGGCGAAGGCGGCUUACUGGACUGUAACUGACGUUGAGGCUCGAAAGCGUG
rnacentral:rRNA from 1 species